GCACUGGCUUUGGCAGCACAUAUACUAAAAUUGGGACAUACAGAAAAGAUUAGCAUGGCCCCUUCAUAAGGAUGACAUGCAAAUUUGUGAAGCAUUCCAUAUUUUU